CAUACUCAAAAAAUAUUAAUGCUAAUUUAAUUUACUAUAUUCAAAUUUAGUAAUUUUAGAGUAUCCUCCACCAACUAAUUUAACUAAUUUUCUAUAGCAUUUAAAAUUGUUUUUAACUUUUUGGUUUUUUUGGUAGCAGGAAUUGAACCCAGGGGGUCCUAACCACUAAGCCACAUCCCCAGCCCUUUUCAUUUUUUAUCUUGGGACAGGGUCUUGCUAAAUGGCUUAAGACCUUGAAAAUUGCUGUGGCUGCUCUGGAACUUGUGAUCCCCCUUCCUCAACCUCCUGAGUUGCUGGGAUCACAGGUGUGUGCCACUGUAUCCCACUGUUUUUAACUUCUUUAUGUUUUUUUUAUUACCUAUUUUCUUACUAUGUAUUACUGUCCCAACAAUUUCCCUCCUCCAUAUAUUUGAAAUUAUACAAUCAACUCUAAAAACUUAUAAUGAUCUCCAAUAUUCAGUUAAGGUAUAAGUUAAUGGUUGCCUAUAUAAGCUUCUAAUAAAGCAAACCUAAAGCAUAGAAGACUUAUUAGAUUUCACCUGACCCAACCUCUCCAUCAGUAUGUGAAUAUAUGUAUUUAAAUUUAAAUGUUUAAAUUCACCUUUAUUUUAAGUCAGUUUGAUCUCUGGCAAGAAAAAAAAACAAUGAAUACAUUCAUCAUUAUACAUGCAAACUUCAAUAAGAGUUCUCUUUUAAAUCAUUUGGUCUUCCAAUUCUUCUGUAUGUCUAAAUCUGUCAGAUCCAUUUAAAUUUUUACAAUUUUUAUGUUUGAACAAAAUCUUCACUUCUAUUAUCAGAAAGCUAAGCCCAAUCAGUCUUUUCAUACAGAAACAACUCUGCAAAGGCAUAAAUCAGAUAUAAAUAUAUAUGUCUCUCUCUCUCUCUCUCUCUCUCUCUAUAUAUAUAUAUAUAUAUAUAUAUAUAUAUACACACACACACACACAUACAUAUAAACAUAUGUGCAUGUGUGUAUACAUAUAUAUAUUUUCAAAAAAUCAUACUCAUUAAUUAAUAACUACACAAUAGUAAGGAUGUAGUUUAUUUCAUUUGAUUAACCCUCAAUUGUUUAAGAUUUUGGCCAUAUGCAGUUUGCAUAUAUAUAUAUAUAUAUAUAUAUAUAUAUAUAUUUACAUACUGAGAUUGUUCUUUUGGGAUGAGUUUCUGCAAGUCAUGUGUUGGAGCUUGUACACACACACACACACACACACACAAACACAUUUAAUUUGCCUUCAAAAAAGUAUCAUUUUGCAUUUCCAUGGGCAGUAUAUAAAAAUGUCACAUAACUACUCAGGACAACUCUGGUUUUUCUUGUCUGACAGAUAAAAAGAGAUAUUUGACUGCCAUUUGAAUUUUUGAUUAUUGGUAAGGUGGAAAAUGCUUUCAAAUGUUAAAUAGUCAUUUCUUCUUUUGUGUAUUCUCAAAUCAUUUUCUUUGUCUACUUUAAUAUAUGUUUAAUAUAUGUUUGUAGCAUAUACAGUAUUCUUAGUGGUUUGUCCCAUUCUGUAUUCAUCUUUUCUAUUUGUUCACAAUAAU
rnacentral:lncRNA from 1 species